CACACACACACACACACACACAUAUAUAUAUAUAUAUAUAUAUAUAUGUUAUAUUCCCACUGUGGGAAAAUGAAUCUUUAUUUGAUGUUAAUCUUAGAGUUAGUGUUUCCAGUGGGAUUAGAUUUAUACUAUCCAGAGAUGCAGCACAGGUAUCUAUUGUGCCUUUUGUUACUUGAUAGCUGAGUGUCAAUAUUGGACCACAUAAACAAGUGUUACCAUCUAGAUUACUACUGACCAAACUAAGUUGUAUUGACAACUCAAAUUUUUACAAUUUACAUUGUCACAGCUGACUGUAAUAAAGUAAUUAUAUCCAUCUGCCCUUCAGAGAUAAAUCCUCAGCACAGUGAAGUGGCAGUGUUUCCAUAACCACUUUUCACACAGUGUUGGAAAGCCUCUUAAAGGCCCCCGCAGACCCACAGUUCACUCACACAGGUGUUUUCACUUAUCUUGCCUGAUUAGACUGCUUCUGUGCCUAAUUGGCAUCUCUCUGGCCCUCCUUUUAGUUUUGUUGCACCUGUUAGGAUGGGAGGGUGACAGUUUUAUCAUUCUUAUUGGUUCAUGAAGUUUGAUGACCUCACAUAGUUACAGCAUAACGAGUCAGAUGCCCCCUGUUGGUCAGCAAGUUGUGGUUAACGUCAGUGUGGAGGAGUGUUCAGCAAGAGAGGAGGAUGAGCCAAAUAAGCAAUGAAAACAGGAAGAGAAUGGACACACAUCACGAACACUGCAUCAUCUAUCCUCUGUUCUGAUUGGCUCUCAGCAGAUCUCUCCCAGAAUCCUGUGCAGGUCCUCAGCCUGUUACCACAUUCCUGAUGAAUCCUCAUGCAGCAGCUGAAUGACAUCGCCACAGUUAAAGAUGAUGUCAUCAGUGCUGGCCAUGCUGCUUUCAACCAUGACCCUAUACCUACCCGCCACCUGGAGCAGAAGAAAGAGAGAAAAGUGCAGCAAGUAUCGUCGACCACUCAAGUCUCACCAGGGGGGAAGGCUGAUCCUCCUCGUCUGAGUCUGAUAAGUUGGACAGGUCUGUCGCGCCCCAGUCCUCCAGGCCCUCACAGAUCGCCACUGAGUGGGCAGGGACAGGCCAACCUGCAGACACAUUCAUCCUCAAGGUCAAAGUUUAAAGACAUCACUGAAGUUCUGGCCAAAGAAAGACCUGCCAGAGACCAGAAGAGUUCAGGAGAGAAAACGUAGAAGCUUUUCAUGAAUUAAACGGUGAAUCAAACAAAAAUGUGGCAAAUAAUUACUGUAAAGAAAAUAAUGCCACGAAGUGACUGUAAUUGAUG